UCGGGAAUUUUGGACAAUGGGGGCAACCCUGAUCCAGCCAUGCCGCGUGAGUGAAGAAGGCCUUCGGGUUGUAAAGCUCUUUCGGCGGGGACGAAACGGUCCGUGACAACACCACGGACUAAUGACAGUACUCGCAGAAGAAGCACCGGCUAACUACGUGCCAGCAGCCGCGGUAAUACGUAGGGUGCAGGCGUUAAUCGGAAUUACUGGGCGUAAAGCGUGCGCAGGCGGCUCCUUAAGUCAGAUGUGAAAUCCCCGGGCUUAACCUGGGAACUGCGUUUGAAACUGAGGGGCUAGAGUGUGGAAGAGGGGGGUGGAAUUCCAGGUGUAGCAGUGAAAUGCGUAGAGAUCUGGAGGAACACCGAUGGCGAAGGCAGCCCCCUGGGCUAACACUGACGCUCAUGCACGAAAGCGUGGGGAGCAAACAGGAUUAGAUACCCAAGUAGUCCCUGAGCGGGCUGGCAAGGCGCAU
rnacentral:rRNA from 1 species